AACGAACGCUGGCGGCAUGCCUAACACAUGCAAGUCGAACGAUGCCUUCGGGCAUAGUGGCGCACGGGUGCGUAACGCGUGGGAAUCUGCCUUUCGGUUCGGAAUAACUCAGGGAAACUUGAGCUAAUACCGGAUAACGUCGCAAGACCAAAGAUUUAUCACCGAAAGAUGAGCCCGCGUAGGAUUAGCUAGUUGGUGAGGUAAAGGCUCACCAAGGCGACGAUCCUUAGCUGGUCUGAGAGGAUGAUCAGCCACACUGGGACUGAGACACGGCCCAGACUCCUACGGGAGGCAGCAGUGGGGAAUAUUGGACAAUGGGCGAAAGCCUGAUGCAGCAAUGCCGCGUGAGUGAUGAAGGCCUUAGGGUUGUAAAGCUCUUUUACCCGGGAAGAUAAUGACGGUACCGGAAGAAUAAGCCCCGGCUAACUCCGUG
rnacentral:rRNA from 1 species